rnacentral:lncRNA from 1 species
GGAAGGGGAAACGUAGAACAUAUAGUUGCUGAUUUCUGGGUAUAAAGGAAAAAUAGCCCUUUGGACCUGUGAUGGACCAAGUGACUUAGGAGCUUAAAAUACCAUUGGAAAUCAGUGGAAUUUGGCUGGUGUUCAAAAGGUAGUGUUUCCCAGACGAGGAUUUCCAAAGGAUUUAAGAGGGCUCAGGUGGCAUUUGUGUAACUCUAACUUUUCUGCCAGUAGGCAUACAACUACACUGGGACAUCUCACAACUGUUAUUUUGGAGGGGGAAGUCUGCUCAGUAAACUUUGGUGGAAAUUCUGGCUGUAUUAGUGUUUAUAAGACUUCAGAGAAGACCAAGGUCCAGGCUGCCUCCUUGGGGAUGUUGAGGGAUGCAGCCACUGCUCUGGCAGGUAAGCUCAGGAGCACAUUAAACAAUUAUAUUUGUUUGUAUGGAUUUUUAUUUGUGCCCCAGGUAGUUUCAGUGUCCAGGCAUGGUAGUACAGAAGCUUGGUUCAAUGAAUAUGAGUGUUUUUCUCUGAUUUCAUUCCCUGUUCUGGUUAGAAUGACCUCUUUCUUUGCUUCUGUGUGACACCUUGUGUACUCUUUGAUUGUUCAGUGAUUACAACACAGGCAUUAUACAGACAUCCAAGCCUCUACUACCUUCAUAAAAAAUUCUGUGCUGUGUUUUACAAUGCUUUAAGGCUACUUGCUCAGCAGUUAGCAGAGGUGAGCCGAGUGCCGGCUUCUUUAGUACGGUCCACGGGCAAUUCGCCUGCUCGUUUGCCCAGGGGUGGGACAGAGGGAGCCGCUAUGUUUCCAGAUUUCUCUGGUGGCUGAAAACACCUUUGUCCUUUUUUCUUGCAGUGAUCUCUUAAUACUCAGUGCUUUCCCGUGCCUUCCAGCACCCAGCUCUUUCCUGGAAUUGCUGGCAUCUGGCCUUGCUCCCUGUCAGCGUAUUGUCUGCCUGUGCUUUCUGUCUAGCUAGAGCCAAACUUACUACUCAAUCAAAACUCAGCAGGAGUUUUGCUGAAUUACUGUAAACUCACCGGGGCAAGAGCUGUGUCUUCCUAAUCAUCAGUAAGGUACUAUGCAUAUUGAUUGUGGCUGAGAGAAAAUAAAAAUGAAUACAUUCAUAUUCA